CUCCUGGGACCAUGUGACCUGUGGGCUUCCCUUUGUCAUCCUAUGCCUGGAGAUCACCGUGAGGCAGGGACAGCAAAGGGAUGCUCAGCUGUCGUCUCUUCC
rnacentral:pre_miRNA from 10 species